CGUCCCUGAUUAGCCUGUGCGAACUGCACAGGCUAAUCUGGGACGACACUUUACGCACAUGAAUUAUGCCCAGUUUUUUUCAGAACGCGAACCAUAAUAUCAGCGAACAGUUCCUCGAGGAAUUCGAGAAGAAAAUACGAGAAUUCUACCCGUUGAUGCGUCACUUUAGAAGUCGAAAGAAAAUGGCCUAUGAAGUUCGGAAAGAGGACAACGACAACGGGCGAGGCAUGGUAUUGUAAUGCGCAUGGGGGGUGGUAAGAGGGUUAGGGUAAGGGGCAGCUGUCUUUGUCCUCUUCCCAUGUAGUUCGUGACAAACUCUUAGUUACGGCAGGGAGGUAAGAGCCGGGAAAGUUGACGUUACCAUGGAUAAGCAAACGACAGGAACAAACUCAGAUAGCGAUGACCGUGCUGGCAUGAGAGCGUACCAUCACAUUUUUUACCGCCUAUGUACGACACCGGAUAGAGCUUUGCACCCGGAAGCUGGAAGUUCAAAUGAAGAUAAAUUUGACUGUCCGGUCAGCGCAGUGGUUGGUGGUUGGUACAAGCGUUUCUCACUUAGGCGACCCGGCACAUAUGAGUUUGGUUGGUGGUCACCAUACCGGAUAGAUGAGAAUUUUUCUUGUUGUAAUGGAUGCAGACUUACGAAUGGUGUGUAUAUCAGUAUACAAUGUCUCUGAAAGAUGACUCUCUCAACGAAGCUGCUCCUGUGCACAGGUGGUUAGCGUGUGGCUAUGAUAUUAAUUAGUGAAAACAUCAUUUUGAAUGAUAAAUAAUCAUAUUAUAACGAAAAAUUAACAUUUCUGGAAAAAAAAAAUUCACUAUCAAAUAUAUAUAUAACAAGGUAUGCAACUCAAAAUCACCCCAAAACGGGGUGCAUCGCUUUGAACAGCCAUAUCUUCAUCAAUUGUGCAGCGAUUUUCACGAUCUCGGUCUUAUUCAACGCAGAAAUGAAUUUCCUUUCUGGAAAUGUAUAUGUCUUGCAAUAUUUUUACAAAUGCUGGGAAAUCUCCAGUCGUAAAGACACACCUCCGCAUUGGACCAAUGAAAUCACUCGUAUGUUUAAAAUGUCAGUUAGUUGAAAAGGUUUCAAACGGCGCUGGACAGUUAGUCUUGAUGCAGAAUGUAACGUCAAGAACGGUAAUAAUGUUUUUUCAUACGUUUUAUUGAAUUAUGGUAUCGAACUACAUGAACUUUGUAGGGAAGUUGCCCUUUACUCCGUGAAGAUUUCAGUCUUAAAGACAGCAUAAUCACUGUCAACUGGGUCAUGCGUGUUGUGUAUCGUGUUAUUUCUUAAAAGUUGACCCAGCAUUUGUUAAAAUAUUGCAAGACAUAUACAUUUAGAUAGUGAUAUACUUUGAAAAAAAUAGGAGUUCAGGAAUUUUGUUAGUAAGCAAGCCUGUGACGAGCUUACUAAGGAAUUUCCUGGAUGAGUUUAAUAAACUAUGGUUUGAAAUGACAAUGAGUGUCAGAUUUUUUUAUGCUUCAAAUGAACAAAUUAAAUUAUCUCUAAGACAAAAUGACAUUGCUGGACAAUACAAUUAAUGUAUGAUUAUACGGAUACAGUAGGGUUUUAUACUUAAUAUAUUUAAAAACAUAUCUGAACAAUACCAAUUCAAUAGCUGUACACAGAAUCAAACCAUACUGCAGUAAUUCCAUUUCAUUGUGAAAUCGUCUUCGUUGGAUGCCACAACAAGCUACAUUAUUAACAUGCCAUUAUCUGAUAAAAUAACCUUACUGCAUUUUGUAAAAUCGAUCAAAGAGAUCAAUAUCUUUUCAACAAGGUUAUAUACCAAACUCUGGCAUAUUCCAUAGGUAACUUGUCAAAGAAUGUUUUCCAAACAAAGGGGGAUGAGAUUCACUAUUCGGAUACAGAUUUCGGAUGAAAAUCCUUUUUACAGUAAUACGUAUGUAGUUCCCCAUAUCCAGUUAAUAUUGCGUUCUACAAACUCAGUAACACUCGAAAAUGAAUCAUAGAUGUUACAAAAUAAAAGAAUACUUGUGUAUUUUAAUAGCGUUAUCAGUUCCAAAAAGGGCAAAUGCAUUAUUUUGACACGUACUUUUCUGAAUGCGGCAAACUGUCACUCUAACAAGUUGUCAUUUCAAAUGAUACAACAAAAUCAAAAUAUGUUAAUCUAUAUUACCUUCGUCAUUGACGACAAUGGGUGACUUCUGUUACAUUGCGGCGAUAUGUCGUCCUUAAUUAAUUCAUGGACUGUGUAGAUUUGUGUUUUUGACAGUCUAUACUUUCGCUGUAUUUCUUGCUCUGUCAGAACAUUUAGAUAGUUUGGUCGAUCUCUAAAAAUCCUUGGAUUUCUCCUUCGAGCGUUCCUUCUCGGAAAUAACGCGGCCUUAUUUACGAAAAUACUGAAUGCUUACGCAUGCUUUUUUUGUUCGUAAAGUUGCGUUAAAACUUACGUAAAACUUACGUACGCAUUUUUUAGUAAAACGCAUUUGCGCAAAAAUUUCAAACGUACGCAAGGAAUUACGAAAAUCGUAGACAUACGCUAGCGUAACUCUGUUAGUAAAACGGUCCACAGAUCUUAGCAUGAUCUUACGUAAGAUUCGUAGGAUUUUUUAGUACGCUUAUCGUAAGUACUGCGUACCGUUUUAUCAAAGAAAUCGCAGCUAAGAUGUCGUAAGAUUUGUGCUUAAAGCUACGACUGGGUAAGACCACACUUAGCGUUCGUAAACAUAGCGGCCGCACGCGCUUUAAACGUUGGUCAACCAAGAGAGAUGAGAAUGUUUCGAGAAAGAAAGGAUUUAGCGAUCUCCGUGAUGGAGAAAUAUUGGACGUAUUUAUGUUUGAUAACGUUAAAUAUAUUCGUUAUAUCAUUCUCUGCAUUAAACGUCCAAGGGAAAUGAAACUUGUGAUGCUUGGAUAAUUAAUUCGUUAAAUAGGUUCAUUGAGAUUGUGUCAAAGUGGCUUGGGUCAACACACACAACGCCUCUGUCUUUGUCCGUGGUUUGAAGACUUUUCUGGAAGAAAACCACAAGAGACACCUACUGGGGGACUCCGGCUAUCAACAAUAGGUACAACAAUGCCCAGUCAAGUGUACUGUGGUUGAUAGGGCUUUUGGACUGCCAAAGAGUAGAUUUAGGUGUCCGCAUAAAACUGGCGGUUGUUUAUUCAUGAGACUCGAUGAGUGCUGUCAAGCAGUGGCUGCAUGAAUGCGCCUGCAUGAAUGCGCCUGCACAACUUAUGCAUAGAUUAGCAGGUGCCACUGCCUGAACAACUUACUUAGGCACAAGAAGUGGAUGGCGUUGUGCACAGUCCACAACAGGACCAAAAUGCAGCUUAUAUGGACAACACAUCAUUAACUUAUUUAUGUAGUUGCUAUUUUAUGCUCACAUGUGCACGAAGUGCUAUAGGUGAGUCAAUGUGGUCAGUCUAUGUUCGGCGACAUGUGUUAAUAUUCAAUAUUUGACUCUUUGUUGAUGAAAGAUGGUCAUUAAGUUUCUGCUAAUGAUACAAAAUAACUUAAUAAGUUAAUGAUUUCUUGUCUAUGAGCUGCUGCAUUUCGGUGAAGUGUGGUCAACAUCUUUGUAAAAGUGUGGAUAUUGACAAUUUCUGCUGUUCUUUUUUGGAUUUUUUUCAUUAAAGACACACUUUUUACAAUAAGCAUUUAUGCAAUGCGUAGGAUGAUUACAUGUUUCUUUUAUAGUAUAACAAAGUGAAAAUAAAUUAUACUCCUUUAUUUAAUUAUCUUUGUAACAUAACAAUACAGGGUUUUCUCCAACAACUCUACAGCUAGGGAACAAUGAAGUGGAACACUAUCUGAAAAUGAAAUACAUUUUAUGUUAAUAAAAUUUGUAUUUGUACGACAAGUGAUGAAAUAAAAGGUUAACAUUGUAACAUAAAGAGAUGUGGUUUCUGUUUGUUCUUUAAAGAGCAUGUACUGUGUAUACUGCACAUCAGACAAGGUUCUGUUGGAACUAAUAGUUUCAUAUACAAAAUUCUUGAGAAUGAAUUGUAUCAUUUAUGUAAAGAUGGAUUGUUAAUUCAUUAUUACACAUUCAUGAUCUACACUUCAUAAGUUAAUCUUUAAUUUUCAUGGAACUCACAUCUUUUUUUUUUUACCCGCUCAAAUGACUGGGCCUCACAUGCGCUGUUUUGCGGAUUUCCUAUAAUGAUUAUAUAUGAAUGAAUAUGACUCGUAAAAUAACAUAAGUAAUCCAAUAUGUUAUUUUAGCUUAUGUAUACUCGUUAAUUUAUUUUCUACAAGUCCAUGUAAAAAAAAACAAUAACUUUUUUGUAUUUACUAAAAAAAAUUCAUAUUCAAUUGAUUUUUACAAAUGGUAUUGUGAAAUGUGAUUAACCUUUUUUAUGCUCCCCCAAAAUUAAUUUUUUGGGGAGCAUAUAGUCACCGCUUCGUCUGUCCAUGCGUCUGUCUGUCCGUCCGUGGACAAUUUUUGUCCGGGCUAUUUCUCAGAAACUAAUGACCCGAAUUCAAUGAAACUUUAUGGGAAGCUUCACUACCAAGAGGAGAUGUGCAUAUUAUUAGCAGGUUCUGGUCGGAUGAUUUAUUACAGAGUUAUGGCCCUUGAAAUUUUCCAUAAACUGUACAUAUAGUGCAAUUCUUGUCCGGGCUAUUUCUCAGCAACUAAUAACCGGAAUUCAAUGAAACUUUAUGGGAAGCUUCACGACCAAGAGGAGAUGUGCAUAUUAUCAGCGGAUUCUGGUAAGAUGAUAUUUCACAGAGUUAUGGCCCUUUGAAAUUGUCUAUAAAAAAUUAUUGUCCCCCCCCCCCAACUACUGUGCCCUCAAAACGUUUCUUUUUAUCUGAAUAUAUAGUGCAAUAUUGUGACAAAAAACAACUUUGGGGAGCAUCAACCGUCUCCGACGGUUUCUUGUUUUUAAAUAACAUGUAUUUAAUAAAUCACCAUAAUAACUUUAUAUAUGAGUCGCGCUCUGAGAAAAUGGGGUUUAAUGCAUGUGCGUAAAGUGUCGUCCCAGAUUUGCCUGUGCAGUCUACACAGGCCAAUCAGGGACGACACUUUCAGCUUGUAUUAUAUGUUGCGUUUUAAAAAAGACUCUUCUUAGCAAAAAUCCAGUUUAGGCAGAAAAUUGUCCCUGAUUAGCCUGUGCGGACUAAAUAGACUUUAGACUGCGGACUAAAUAUUCAUUAAUAAAUAAAGACAAUCGAUCUUUAUGAGCUGUCAUACAUACAAACAUGUACAUUCAAUGACAAAAAGAUAUUUUGAUUUAUGCAUUUAUUACAAUUUGAAAUGUAUCUGUAACCAAGUAACUUAAUAAAUAACGAUAUUUAUGACACAUAAUUAAUUUGUGAUUAUGAUAACGUUGUUAAACCUUAUUUAUUUUAUGUGUUUUGUAACAUUGACACACCUACACGAAUAAAUGUGCUAACUUUA